GGUCCGAAGAUUGUGAGUUAUCACAAUUGAUUGUUCACAGUUAUAGACAGAACUCUUUGUUCUACUCUUUCCCUUCUCACUACUGCACUUGUCAUUUUUU
rfam:Chlorocebus sabaeus isolate 1994-021 chromosome 1, whole genome shotgun sequence.